CAAUACUAACUGAAAAAUGGCGUAACACCGCCUCGAAGUUAGACCCCAAAUCUAGCAAUUCCUUCCUUAGUAACGCAAAGAUGCCACACUGGCUCAAACUGCAAGUACUGAAAGCUCAAUACGGGCUGCUAUUUAAUGCUAAGCUAAAGAAACUUUACGGACGAGGCGGAGACGGCAACUGCCCUAUCUGCCGCAGCUGCGGCCCGACCGGCCCCACACCCGACUCAGGAGCCCACAUACUCGGCGGGUGCCCCCACCCAACCAUGAAGGGCAUGUAUAUCAACCGGCAUAACCAAGUGACGCGCACUAUUGCCGACUGCGUUAAUGGAGGCCACCACGGUGGUGGCUUCAUGAUUAUGGACGCCAGUAAAGAAGAGGAUCUCCCGCCGUACUGCAGUGGGAUGCACGUCCCCAAAUGGAUGCUGCCACACUUAGUGGACGAGGAAAUCCGUCGCCUCCACCCAGACAUCAUGUUCAUCCCCGACCUCCCCGCGCACAGAACCAAGCGCAAACGGUACCAGGGGCCGGAGUGCAAAUCCAAGCAUGAUGUAUACAUUGUUGAAGUAGGCUACACCAGUGACCUACAGCACUCCGACAAACUCGAACAGAAAACCGCACAGCAUGCACGGCUAACAGAGGAACUCACGAAAGCAGGCUGGACGGUGCACUACACCGAGGCGCAAAUCGUCACCCUGGGAAGUACUGGGACGAUAACCAACACACUAAAACCAAUACUGUGCAGACUCAGCUCGUCCGCUGAGCAGGCCCAGAAGACCUGCCUGCACCUCCACCGGCAAACAAUCAAAGCAGCGGGCACGAUUAUCCGGGCGCGGCGAGUACUGGAGGGUACAGUCAAGUAACCGGUACAACCCGAACGGUUUCCCACGGUGGUGCGGGCAUACAGGGGCGGCUACACCGCCCCUCAGUUCCCCACCCCCUUAACACACGCCAGGCCUCGGCCGGCGUACUAUUAAUAUUAUUAUUAUUCUGACCCAUGCCGACUUCUGAAAUGUCAGUGGCAUUUUCGGGUCCAGCACGCACCAUCAGCACAUCCGGUGGAAUCUGUGCCUGGAAUCAACGGCGGCAGCAGCAAGUUUCCACUCCGGGUCGGCUUUUGCAGGUGUGUCACUACACCAGUGGUUCCAUCAUCUCGGC
rnacentral:lncRNA from 1 species